AGAUUUUUCCCAUCUACGUUAAUGUUGGGAUGCUUUUUUUACUUUCCUUUUGUGCUAUUUGAAGAAGAGCCCUUCGGUUGAAGGCAACUUACACAUGUGGAUUGAUAGAGAUUUGUACACAUCUGCAAAAACUUAUUCAUGAUGACUGUUAAAGACAGAGGAGAUGGACAGACUUAGCUGUGUGCAAAAAGCAUGCGCACCGCGAUUAGUGGUGUAGCAACAUAUAGGAGAGGGGAACGCCACGUCCUCACGGAUGGGACUGUUGGAGCGCUCCAUAUUUAACGUAGUUUAUUUUCUUUUGUCGUUUCAUGUGCUCAUUGCAUUUGGGUUUUCAAUUUUUUCUAAGGUUCCUUGCCAAUUACUCUUUGCUCAUUUACCACUUGUGCUUGGGUAAGAUUCCCCUACAUUCCGCUUUUUUAUUUUGCAGUCAUGACUACUGUUAGUGUGGAUGAAAGGCUGUGGAAAAUGUGAUUAUAGAUUUGGUGGGUUCUUCUAGAGAGAAGGGAGAACGCCCUACAGCCUCCAACUCUGCCUCACACCAUGGAGGUGAGAGCGAGGCAGAAUGGAAUUGUAAGGAAAAAGGUAGAAGAUAGGCUAGUAAGAUCAAGGUUGAGUUUUUAGGAUUUAUCGUUCCCACUUCACUGAAAAAGACAAGGUGAUCACUAGGGAAAAGUAUGGGAUACCUAAUGUGUUUGCGAUUCAGGUCUCUGCUUUUGAUGAUUGCCCCAACUUUCCUCCUAACUUGUUUCUAUUUGGUCUAGCUGGAAGUUGGUUUACACUUUCCAUUUCCAAAGUUUUUUUUGUUGAUUUCGCCAGUCAGUUUAAUGUUUGCAUAAAUUAAUUGGUCCCCAUAUUCUUUAGCUUGAUGUCUAGGUUCUACAUUUUGGUGAGAAACUUAGGGGAAACCCCUCUUGUUGCUCAAUUCCAUUCAUUUUUCAUGCUUAAGAAAGUGGCAUAUUUUGCUCCACUACUCGAGGGAACACUCGAUUUCUUCCCACUGAGUCCUAUAUGAAGGGGUGGAUACGUCACUUUUUCUCCAUUUCUUUCCCCAUAUCCUAGAGGUUCCUUCCUAUGUGGAUUUAGCCACCACUGAACAACUCAAGUACUAUGUCUGUAAUUGGCCUGCUGCUUUCCAAACCUUGUUGGAUGACUUGCAUGUCUUUCCUUUUAGCCCCCCAAAGCUAGUAUACCAUGUUAUUCUUCCUCUUUGGGCAGAGCCCAAAAGAGACGGAUAUAGAGCCUACUACUGAGAUAACUACUUGCAGCCUUUCAUCUGCUAUUUUUCUUGUUUGAAAAGGAAAUUUUCAAAUAGGUAUUUAUGUGGGUUAGUACCUGAUUUUUACAAGAAAGAUGUUUUAGAAGCUCCUUCAAAACAAGCCAUUAAAAUGGAGAAAACCCCUGGUGCCAAGCGCAUCCUACUGAAAAGUCCUCCCUCGACCCGGACUAGCUCCACGUCCACUAGGGAUCCUAAAGGCAAGAGUUGACUAAUACAAUACCCACCCCCAAAGAAAAGGUUAAGGGUCAGAUGGGCCUCUUGACACCUUUUGCUCCGCGCUAUGUUACCCGGUGUCAAGGGCUGCUCGCGUACUCGGCCCCCUUGACGUGCACUUCGGCCACUCAACCGUUCUACAUGGCCAAUCACUCAGCCUUCAUCGACAGAUGAUGGACAUCCGCAGUCUUAGAGUCUUAGGAUUUGGCCUUUUUUUAGAUUGCUCAGGGGGACGUUACGCCUCAUGAAGUGCAUUUUUCAGCUUUUUCACUUCUACUCUGUUCACUUCUCCGAGGAAAAAAGUCAAGAAAAGCAGGUGAAGUUCUUGGUGGUAUGGCCAACUCAAGGCGUCAAAUGUGAUGGUGUCCCGUUGCACGGCAGCACCCACGGAAGAAGCACCGGCGGAUGUGGGUACAAAUCCAAGAAAGAAAAACCCCAUCGAAAGAAAACCAAGAAAAGCAAGAGGGAGAGACAGUGCGAGAAGGAGGCCUCAAAUUAUGGUAUUGCGAAAUGUUACUGCUGUUUGAACAAUCCUUCUUGGCCCAAUCCAAUGAUCCAGAUUCAGGUCUGACUUUCACCACGCCGCGACAUCAUAUGGGUUUUUGCCCAUGGAUAUCACGCCCCUGUGCAGAAAUCCUCUGGUGGAGUCGUAUCUUCAAAUCAUGGGAGAGCUAAAACUUUCAUCUGCCUUUCUUCAAGUAAUUUGUUGGAUCUUGGGUGAAUAUGGGACUGCAGAUGGCAAGUAUUCUUCCUCAUAUAUCACUGGGAAGUUCUGUGAUGUCGCAGAGGUUCAUUUGGCAGAUGACACGGUGAAAGUAACCAAGCUUGUACACUCGUUUAAGGAAGGUUCGGAGGAAUGGUCCAAGAAGGCGGUAGAGCUUGAGGAGUCAUGAAGGCUUUAGAAUUUGGUUGUCGAAUUCCAAACUUAUCGGUUUUUCUUUUGUCUUCAUGCAUGCUGGACGCAAAUGGAAGGUGUAUGAGGUGGCAAAGAGGGUAUUUGAAAACAAUGACACAAAAACUAGAAAUCUUUGCAAAGUGAUAAUGGUGAUUGUCAUCCCAGCAAGGUGAGGGUGCAAGUUCAGUAUAUAGCAGUGGUGCAUCUUACAUGGCCGCCCCUUAAAAGGAAAAUGUAUGUACUUGCAUGUAAGAGUUAAAGAAGUCUACCAUGCUGCAUAUAGACAAGUAUUAUAAAUUUUUCACUUCUAAUCUUUACUGGCCCAUGAAUGUUGUUUAUCCAAGUAUGUGAGGUUGGGAAUCAUUGUUAACUAAUAAUUGAAAAUAAAAUCAGAUUUCUUUUUUGUCUUCCAUCUUUCUUUUAAACUCUUCUAAUGAAGUUCAUCAGAUAUCUUUCAGUUACAUUUGCUACACUUGGUGAGAACACUAGAUGAUGUCCCUGGAUGUGCUUCUUAGUGCUGGUGUUCCGUGGUGCAAGUGACUAUUUAUGUGCUAUCAUAUCAUGUUUAUCAUUUGUCCCCUACAGUUACUGGUGCAAAAAGCUCGAGAAUUUAUUGUCACUUCCCAAGAGCUCAUCACUCGGGGUUCAGUCCUGGAUAUUAUUGUGGAGAUGCUGUUGAUAUUGCUAGUAUUGAAUUGUCGAGUGUUGCAAGAGAAGCUAUUAGGUGUUCUCCAAUGGUGUCUCGCUUCCAGUUAUCAUAUGAUCUUGCAGUCUCGUUAUUUUCUAGGCAACGAAGAAAAUUACACCGCCAAACUUGCGGAAAACUUUCAGGCAGAUUUGAAAGUCUGCUCAGAGGGAAACAAUGGAUACUCCUUUUGUUCCCCAAGCCGUCUCCCUUCUAGCUACUCAGCUGGCUAUGCAGAUAUAAGUGCACAUAAGAGUUUGGAACAGUGAGCUCGUCUUGUGAAUCUAGGAGGAUAAGAAUCGUCGGGGGAUGAAUACAAUUGUUGAACAAAAC